UGAGUAACGCGUGGGAAUCUGCCCUCAGGAGGGGGAUAACGGCCGGAAACGGCCGCUAAUACCCCAUAUGCCGAGAGGUGAAACGAGAUUCGCCUGGGGAUGAGCCCGCGUCUGAUUAGCUACUUGGUGUGGUAAUGGCGCACCAAGGCAUCGAUCAGAUGCUGGUCUGAGAGGAUGAUCAGCCACACUGGGACUGAGACACGGCCCAGACUCCUACGGGAGGCAGCAGUGGGGAAUUUUCCGCAAUGGGCGCAAGCCUGACGGAGCAACGCCGCGUGAGGGACGAAGGCCUCUGGGCUGUAAACCUCUUUUCUCAAGGAAGAAGACAUGACGGUACUUGAGGAAUAAGCCACGGCUAAUUCCGUGCCAGCAGCCGCGGUAAUACGGGAGUGGCAAGCGUUAUCCGGAAUUAUUGGGCGUAAAGCGUCCGCAGGCGGCCUUGAAAGUCUGUUGUUAAAGCGUGGAGCUCAACUCCAUUUCAGCAAUGGAAACUACAAGGCUAGAGUGUGGUAGGGGCAGAGGGAAUUCCCGGUGUAGCGGUGAAAUGCGUAGAUAUCGGGAAGAACACCAGUGGCGAAGGCGCUCUGCUGGGCCAUAACUGACGCUCAUGGACGAAAGCCAGGGGAGCGAAAGGGAUUAGAUACCCCUGUAGUCCUGGCCGUAAACGAUGAACACUAGGUGUCGGGAGAAUUAACCCUUUCGGUGUCGUAGCCAACGCGUUAAGUGUUCCGCCUGGGGAGUACGCACGCAAGUGUGAAACUCAAAGGAAUUGACGGGGGCCCGCACAAGCGGUGGAGUAUGUGGUUUAAUUCGAUGCAACGCGAAGAACCUUACCAGGGUUUGACAUCCUGCGAAUCCCUUGGAAACUUGGGAGUGCCUUCGGGAGCGCAGUGACAGGUGGUGCAUGGCUGUCGUCAGCUCGUGUCGUGAGAUGUUGGGUUAAGUCCCGCAACGAGCGCAACCCACGUCUUUAGUUGCCAGCAUUCAGUUGGGCACUCUAGAGAGACCGCCGGUGAUAAACCGGAGGAAGGUGUGGAUGACGUCAAGUCAUCAUGCCCCUUACAUCCUGGGCUACACACGUACUACAAUGCUACGGACAAAGGGCAGCAAACUCGCGAGAGCUAGCAAAUCCCAUAAACCGUGGCUCAGUUCAGAUCGUAGGCUGCAACUCGCCUACGUGAAGGAGGAAUCGCUAGUAAUCGCAGGUCAGCAUACUGCGGUGAAUACGUUCCCGGGCCUUGUACACACCGCCCGUCAAGCCAUGGAAGCCGGGGGUACCCGAAGUCAGUGACCUAACCCGC
rnacentral:rRNA from 1 species